UGGUGGAGUGAUUUGUCUGGUUAAUUCCGAUAGCGAACGAGACUCUGUCCUGCUAACUAGGUUGUGUUUUCUCGGGUUGGUGUUUCUGGUGUUCCUUCUCGGGGCGCCGGCCCAAUCCACUUGUGAACACAACACUCUUCUUAGAGGGACUGGCGGCUGUUAGCCGCACGAGAUAGAGCAAUAACA
rnacentral:rRNA from 1 species